rnacentral:lncRNA from 1 species
UCCGUUCUUCAACUUCUGUAAUUUUUCUUUUUAUGCAAUACAUUAAAUCUUCCUCUAUGCACUUUGUGUUCGCCUCAAUCUUCUUGUUUUCAUCCAUUUUAAUACCAAAGCUUUUCUUUGAUUAGUUAAAUAUAUAAAUGCUCUUUAAAUCUAAGUACAUGUCUUCUAGUUAAUUUCAAUUAAAAAUAAUUCUCCGGUAGACUAGAGAAUCUAUCAUCAUCCCCGACAUAAUAUUUUUCUUUUGUUAUUCAAAAAUCG